GCGGAUGUUGCAUAGUGGUAGUGCUUCAGCCUUCCAAGCUGAUAGUGCGGGUCCGAUUCCCGCCAUCCGCUCCA
rnacentral:tRNA from 1 species